ACUGUUCUCUCAAACUCCUGCCUGUUUUCUGGGGUGGCCAGGAUGACCAGGACGUUCGGAGAGUAUAAAGCAGUGGUGGUGAAUCUGUGGCAUGCAUGCUGCAGCAGGCUGUCUGCUAUUGAAAACUCGGCAAAGUUUGUCUCUCCGGUAUAAAGUGUGCACAUCACUCCAGAAACACCACUUUCAGACCAGAAGCUGUGGCUGAGAUUUCCCCGUCCCAGAUCCCAGCCCUGCCCCUGGCUCUGGCAUGGGACUGAGCAGCCACAAUGAAAAAAUACAGAAAUAUCGGAUUGCUGUGAAAUGUCAGAGACCCCAAGAAUCAGAGCACCAUCCUUCUGGCAGUGGCUCCUUAUCUACGCGAGACACCUUUGUAGACCUAUUAUCAUAGCUGACCAUAUUUGAUUACAAAAAGAAGAAAGAAGAAGAAGAAAGAGGAGGAGGAGAAGGAGGAGGAGGAGGAGUGAAAUCAUGGGUAGGUAAGAACUCUUGCAUAAAUUUUGCAUUAUUUCUUUGGUAAACAAUAACAACAUC
rnacentral:lncRNA from 1 species